rnacentral:rRNA from 1 species
AACGAACGCUGGCGGCAUGCCUAACACAUGCAAGUCGAACGAGACCUUCGGGUCUAGUGGCGCACGGGUGCGUAACGCGUGGGAAUCUGCCCUAGGGUUCGGAAUAACAGUUGGAAACGACUGCUAAUACCGGAUGAUGACGAAAGUCCAAAGAUUUAUCGCCAGAGGAUGAGCCCGCGUAGGAUUAGCUAGUUGGUGUGGUAAAGGCGCACCAAGGCGACGAUCCUUAGCUGGUCUGAGAGGAUGAUCAGCCACACUGGGACUGAGACACGGCCCAGACUCCUACGGGAGGCAGCAGUGGGGAAUAUUGGACAAUGGGCGAAAGCCUGAUCCAGCAAUGCCGCGUGAGUGAUGAAGGCCUUAGGGUUGUAAAGCUCUUUUACCCGGGAUGAUAAUGACAGUACCGGGAGAAUAAGCUCCGGCUAACUCCGUGCCAGCCGCCGCCGUAACAC